rnacentral:rRNA from 1 species
UGGCUCCUACGGGGGGCAGCAGUAGGGAAUCUUCCACAAUGGACGAAAGCCUGAUGGAGCAACGCCGCGUGAGUGAAGAAGGGUUUCGGCUCGUAAAGCUCUGUUGGGAGUGAAGAAAGAUAGACGUAGUAACCGGCCUUUAUUUGACGGUAAUUACUUAGAAAGUCACGGCUAACUACGUGCCAGCAGCCGCGGUAAUACGUAGGUGGCAAGCGUUGUCCGGAUUUAUUGGGCGUAAAGCGAGUGCAGGCGGGUCAACAAGUCUGAUGUGAAAGCCCUCGGCUCAACCGCGGAACUGCAUCUGA